rnacentral:misc_RNA from 1 species
UCCAGGAAUUGAAUCCAGGGAUUCCGGUUGAUCAACAGCCUCCUACUCGAUAGUUAUAUCUAUCUUGUUUCGCCGAGUAUAAAUUCUCAAAUCUGAUCUAAUCAGUCUCCCUCGAGAUUUAGGUAACUCCCCCUGAGUAUCAUUGUUAGGUAUAGAUUCUAAACCCAGAUUCUCCCUCUAAAGUUGAAGAUUGGGAGAGGACAAAGAUGAAGGGUAAGACACCUCUUUCUUUCGAUGCUCCCCCUGAAAAGGUAGAUGUAAAUAAGAUUUAGAUUUCCUGAAGGUAACAUCCAUGCUCAUAACAUAUUUCCAUGUAGGAGGGUAGUAACACCUAUACCCCUUCUGAGU